GACGAACGCUGGCGGCGUGCUUAACACAUGCAAGUCGAACGAUGAAGCUGGAGCUUGCUCCGGUGGAUUAGUGGCGAACGGGUGAGUAACACGUGAGCAAUCUGCCCUUGACUCUGGGAUAACUGCGGGAAACUGUAGCUAAUACCGGAUACUUUCACUGGAAGGCAUCUUCUGGUGAAGAAAGAAUUUCGGUCAAGGAUGAGCUCGCGGCCUAUCAGCUUGUUGGUGAGGUAACGGCUCACCAAGGCGACGACGGGUAGCCGGCCUGAGAGGGUGACCGGCCACACUGGGACUGAGACACGGCCCAGACGCCUACGGGAGGCAGCAGUGGGGAAUAUUGCACAAUGGGCGCAAGCCUGAUGCAGCAACGCCGCGUGAGGGAUGAAGGCCUUCGGGUUGUAAACCUCUUUUAGCAGGGAAGAAGCGAAAGUGACGGUACCUGCAGAAAAAGCACCGGCUAACUACGUGCCAGCAGCCGCGGUAA
rnacentral:rRNA from 1 species